rnacentral:rRNA from 1 species
AAAUCAAGCGCAAAAGGGCAUCUGAUGGAUGCCUUGGCAUUAAGAGGCGAUGAAGGACGUGGUACGCUGCGAAAAGCCGUGGGGAGGUGCGAACACCCUUUGAUCCGCGGAUAUCCGAAUGGGGAAACCCACCACAAGUGUGGUACCUUGCACUGAAUACAUAGGUGUAAGGAGCAAACCUAGGGAACUGAAACAUCUAAGUACCUAGAGGAAAGGACAUCAACCGAGACUCCGUUAGUAGUGGCGAGCGAACGCGGACUAGCCCAGUGGCUUAUGUGUAAGAACUAGAAGGAGAUGGAAAGCUCCGCAACAAAGGGUGAUAGCCCCGUAUAGGUAGAAAGCAUAUAGGUCCUCGAGUAAGGCGGGACACGAGAAAUCCUGUCUGAACAUGGGGGGACCAUCCUCCAAGGCUAAGUACUCCUUAAUGACCGAUAGUGAACAAGUACCGUGAGGGAAAGGUGAAAAGAACCCCGAUGAGGGGAGUGAAAUAGACCUGAAAUCGGAUGCCUACAAACAGUCGGAGCAGACGUAUGGUUCGCCAUACAAACUGUGACGGCGUACCUUUUGCAUAAUGGGUCAGCGACUUAGUGUACGUAGCAAGCUUAAGCCGAUAGGUGUAGGCGUAGGGAAACCGAGUCUUAAUAGGGCGACCAAGUUACGUGCAUUAGACCCGAAACCGGGUGAUCUAUCCAUGGGCAGGUUGAAGGUGCGGUAACACGUACUGGAGGACCGAACCGACUACCGUUGAAAAGGUAGCGGAUGACCUGUGGAUAGGGGUGAAAGGCUAAUCAAACUCGGAAAUAGCUGGUUCUCCGCGAAAACUAUUGAGGUAGUGCGUCGAGCGAUUACUCCAGGGGGUAGAGCACUGGAUGGGCUAGGGGGAAGCGAUUCUUACCAAACCCAACCAAACUCCGAAUACCUGACAGUACAGCUCGGCAGACAGACGGUGGGUGCUAAGGUCCAUCGUCGAAAGGGAAACAGCCCUAACCGCCAUCUAAGGUCCCCAAGUCAUAGCUAAGUGGGAAAGGAUGUGGGACGACCAAGACAGCCAGGAGGUUGGCUUAGAAGCAGCCAUCCUUUAAAGAAAGCGUAACAGCUCACUGGUCUAGAUAAGUUAUCCUGCGCCGAAAAUGUAACGGGGCUAAAGUUAUGCACCGAAGAUGCGGGUUUGUUAGGUUAACUAACAAGCGGUAGCGGAGCGUUCCAUAAGCCUGUGAAGGCGUACUCGCGAGAGACGCUGGAGGUAUUGGAAGUGAGAAUGCUGACAUAAGUAACGAUAAACAGAGUGAAAGACUCUGUCGCCGUAAGUCCAAGGGUUCCUACGCAAUGUUAAUCAACGUAGGGUGAGUCGGCCCCUAAGGCGAGGACGAAAGUCGUAGUCGAUGGGAACACGGUUAAUAUUCCGUGACCUGUAAGAAGUGACGAAGGCCGUAAGUUGUAUCCCCUGAUCGGAUUGGAGGAUGCAGCGAAGGACUUCCAGGAAAUAACUCUUACGUAUAGACCGUACCCGAAACCGACACAGGUGGACGAGAUGAAUAUUCUAAGGCGCUUGAGAGAAUGGUGUUGAAGGAACUCGGCAAAUUGCUCCCGUAACUUUGGAAUAAGGGAGACCCACUUAAAGGCAACUUCUAGUGGGUGGCACAGAAUUGGGGGUAGCGACUGUUUAACAAAAACACAGGACUCUGCGAAGUCUCAUGACGACGUAUAGGGUCUGACGCCUGCCCGGUGCUGGAAGGUUAAAAGGAGGUGUGCAAGCACUGAAUUGAAGCCCCAGUAAACGGCGGCCGUAACUAUAACGGUCCUAAGGUAGCGAAAUUCCUUGUCGGGUAAGUUCCGACCUGCACGAAUGGCGUAACGAUUUCCCCACUGUCUCCAACACCAACUCAGUGAAAUUGGAUUCUCCGUGAAGAUACGGAGUUCCCGCGGUCAGACGGAAAGACCCCGUGCACCUUUACUACAGCUUUGCAGUGGUAUUAGGGACAACUUGUGUAGGAUAGGUGGGAGCCUUUGAAGCGAUUGCGCCAGCAGUCGUGGAGGCGUCCUUGAAAUACCACCCUGGUUGUCUUUGAUAUCUAACUGAGGUCAGUAAUCCUGAUCCAGGACCCUGCAUGGUGGGUAGUUUGACUGGGGCGGUCGCCUCCCAAAGAGUAACGGAGGCGCGCAAUGGUAGGCUCAGGUUGGUCGGAAAUCAACUGAUGAGUGCAAUGGCAUAAGCCUGCCUGACUGCGAGACAGACAAGUCGAGCAGAGACGAAAGUCGGUCAUAGUGAUCCGGUGGUUCCACAUGGAAGGGCCAUCGCUCAACGGAUAAAAGGUACGCCGGGGAUAACAGGCUGAUCUCCCCCAAGAGUCCACAUCGACGGGGAGGUUUGGCACCUCGAUGUCGGCUCAUCACAUCCUGGGGCUGAAGCAGGUCCCAAGGGUUCGGCUGUUCGCCGAUUAAAGUGGUACGUGAGCUGGGUUCAGAACGUCGUGAGACAGUUCGGUCCCUAUCUGCCGUGGGUGUACGAGACUUGAGAGAACUUGCCCCUAGUACGAGAGGACCGGGGUGAACGUACCUCUGGUGUAUCGGUUGUCGCGCCAGCGGCAUCGCCGAGUAGCUACAGUACGGACGAGAUAACUGCUGAAAGCAUCUAAGCAGGAAACUCAUCUCAAAACUAGGUCUCGCAAUUAGAGCCGUGGUAGACCACCACGUUGAUAGGGUUGAUGUGUAAGCGUGGUAACACGUUUAGCUAACAACUACUAAUCGCUCGAUUGGCUUGAUUUAC